UACGUAGGGGGCUAGCGUUGUCCGGAAUCAUUGGGCGUAAAGCGCGUGUAGGCGGCCCGGUAAGUCCGCUGUGAAAGUCGGGGGCUCAACCCUCGGAUGCCGGUGGAUACUGUCGGGCUUGAGUACGGAAGAGGCGAGCGGAAUUCCUGGUGUAGCGGUGAAAUGCGCAGAUAUCAGGAGGAACACCAAUAGCGAAGGCAGCUCGCUGGGACGGUACUGACGCUGAGGCGCGAAAGCGUGGGGAGCGAACAGG
rnacentral:rRNA from 1 species